rnacentral:lncRNA from 15 species
AUUUGUUUAUUUAUUUAUUUUGCUGUUCUGUUCACUGGGAUGCUCUUUAAGUUUCAACAAAAGGCAUCAUGACUGUGUCCGUGCAUGAUAUUAGAGUUUGUGUGUGUAUACCUCGCACACAUACAUAGUGUGAACUCAAAUUGUUCCCAUAUUUCCUCCUGUUUGUCACUGUGUGUUCACAUGUUGUAUUUCUGAGUGUGUGCGUACAUAUUAUGUGUGUGGGCUGUUUCCUCCACUACCUUGAGCGGUGGCUAGGGGGUGCACUGUGGACACGGUGGGAGAGAGAGAGAGAGAGGGGGGGGGGGGAGUGAGAGACAGACAGAGAGAGAGAGAGAGAUAGAGAGUGUGUGUGUGUGUGUGUGUGUGUGUCUGUGUGUGUGUGUGUGUGUGUGUGUGUCUCAGUAAUGUAUUCCUGCCUGUGGCUGGGCUGGUCACAUGGGGAGAGCAGCCUGUUUAAAACAGCCUCGGCUCUCUCACUCAGAGCAGUGCGAGACACAGAGACAGACGCACACGUUCUCUCUCUCUCUCUCUCUCCCUCUCUCCUUCACACACGCAGACACAUACACACAUGCUCAUGCACGCAGACGGCAACUUUCCUCUAUCGGACUGACACACCACACACGCCGGGAUAGACACACUCCCCUCGCUACAGUGGAGAAGAGGAUAAGGAGUGACAGAUCAGGAAAAAAAAAGCUAAAGAAAUACAGAAAAAAAGAGGAGGUUCCCACACCCUCCCAACUUUUUUCAUCUGAAGUUUCCAUCCUUGUCCUCCCCAACAUAUCUUCUCCAAUCCAUGUCUUUCUCCUUUCCACCCUUACUCACCCUCCUCCUCUGUUGCUGACUCCUCACCCGUCCGUUCCCUCUCAUCCUUCUCUUUUAUUCUCUUAGGUCCACUUACCUUCUCCUUCUCUAAACCCCCCCCCCCCCCCCUUGCUUCUCCUCUCCCAUCCCAACCUUGCAAUGCUGGUGUUUAUGCUUCAGACAGAAGAAAGGUAAGGUAAAACUAGGAUAAUAUUUCCCCUAACAUACUUACUGCCGGGUAAACAUCCUCCGACAGAUGUCGAGUGUGGGCCUUAUCGGGGGGGUAGACGAGAGGGCCAGGGGGUGGGGAGCAUUCAGGUAAAGUUAGCAGGCUGCUUACCUCUACCUGGCACUGACCAUCAGUAUCACCAAUUUACCUAGACACUUUGGCUGAUGUCUGGUUUGUGUUCAUUCUGCAAAUAAGUGUCUGUACUUGGCCAAAGAUUGUUUGUUAGCUUAAGAACAACCACUCUCUAACACUACUCUACAAUGGCACGUAGACGACCAGCAGAGAGGUGAUUCUUCUUAAUAUGUCAACUAUUUACGUUGCUGUCAAUUGGGAUCUCCAGAAAGUAGCUCUAGGAAAGUAAGGUGCACAAGACUAAGUAGGCUAACCUGUCUUGACCGUGUCAGACAUAUUUAAUCAACGUUUCAUAUCUUAUGCUUCUCAUCUAAUUUUCUGGUUGUAGCAACAGUUGUUGAAAUUCAGUAAAGCUACCACUAAAAACUGGAUUCAGAAGGAUUCGGUUUUGAUAAGCCGAUUUACUGGAUUUGGAUACUUGAUAUUGAAGUACUUUUGAACCGCAGCCCUCGGAGAGGUUGAGGAAACGUGAAAGGAAGAGUGGCUAGAGUAGUAAGGAUGAAAUAAAUAGGAUAUUUCUGUGUACAUGUAUGCAUCAGAGACAUAUUACAUGCCUCUGUGAAACAAAUGCAGGCGAGAGCUUUGUGCGCAGCAAGCCUCCAAACGGCAGCGAAGACAUGAGAAAGCCAGCGCUGCUCUCCUCGCAACGCACAGCUCCCACGCUUUCUCUGUCUACCCUCUCUCUCUCUUUAGUUAGAUAUGCCACUUGCUGUGUGCUUUUAUCUAAAUGCACCUAAGGGUGUGAAAACAUGACAAGAUUUUGUUAAGAUUUGGCCCCAAUUAAGCAGCCUCACAUGCAUUUCAGUGAUCCGCAGUUUACAACGGUUUCCUCUCUGCACCCUGAGCUGGAAGAUCUGGCUCGGAGGGGGGCUGUGUAAUUAUUUCGGUAAUCCAGAAGAACUCUUUUUCUUCUUUGUACAUUUUUAAUAUGGCGAGGACACGCAGAUAUCAAACCACACUCUAAUGCCAUAACUCGUAGCAUGCCCUCUAACUAUAGAUCAGGACCUUAAAUAAUGAAAAGUUGUGAAAUUGUUAUAAAAAAAACUGUCUGUAUUCUGCUUGUAUGUUAGUAGAUAUUUUUUUUAAACUUGUAUAUUUUUGCUUCCUUUGCUGUCUUUUUUUUUUCCAUUUGCGUGUAUGCCUGUCUCUGCUUGUGACUGAGUGUCUUGUCAGUCGGCCUUUUUGUCUGUCAACUUAUGUGUGUGCUAGUGGGUCAGUGUGUGUGUGUGUGUGUGUGUGUGUGUGUGUGUGUGUGUGUGUGUGUGUCAACUUGUGUGUGUAUCUGCUUGCCUCUGCUGCAUUUUCAUCCUUAGACAGCUCUCCAUUCAGCCCCUGUAGCAUUCUUGCAGCCCAGGCAACAGAAGAGUUUGACUCCUCGAACUUCUGAUCAAAGCAAAUGGGGGAUGAAAG